AAGAUGAGUUUUCUGCCCAAAGCCUUGGCCUAGCCCUACGUCAUGGCUCUAGCACCAGAGAGACUGAGGAAGGACAAUCACUGAGAAUUUGAGGUCAGCAUGAUCUACAGUGAGACCUUAUCUCAGAAAAUAAAAACAAAAGAAGAGCAUGACUUCAUUCUAAUUGUAAAAUAACAUUAGCAAACAGAUGGAAAACAUUUUAUAAGAUAACUAAUGACCUCUUCAAAGAGGCCAGAGAACAAAAGGAAGGAAAGAUUCUAAGAAACAGACUGGAGGAGUCUAAGCAGACACAUGUGAUGUAAGAAGCUAUGAGGUAGACUAGAAAGGGGGUAACAGAAGAACUUUAAGAAUUCAUAAGACUGCAACACAGGCCAGCUAAUUGUGUUAAACCAGUUUUAACUGCCCAGUUGUGAUAAUUUUUACGAUGAUACAAAAGAUGUCAAAGUGAAACUAAAUGAAUUAUACACAAGAACUCUUGGGUUCUAUUUCUGCAACACUUCUUAAAAGUCUACAGGAUUAUAAUAUGCAAGAGGCCUACGAAUAAUCGAGUGGAGCUGCAGCAGACGGAACGCAAGCGCUCAGAAGAGGACGGUCUAAGCAGAGACACAGACACUGGACACUGAGAUGAAGCCUGGUUGUGAUUUACUGACUCCAGGAUUCCAACCAAGGUCUUCACCUUGUGAACUUUAAUUAUCAUGGCAAAAAGAAUGGUCAAAACAUAACCUGAAUUAAAUGCUUAUUAACCCUACGAUAAAUCAUUCAAAAACAUC